rnacentral:SRP_RNA from 1 species
CAUUGGUUCUCUCGCAACGAUAACUGGUUUACCUGGUCAGGCCCGGAAGGGAGCAGCCAAGGCUAGUGACUCGUGUGCCGGGAUGUGGCUGGUGGAG